GAGCGGUUUCCGAGGCCUCACGCGCUGGCGGGGCUGUUGAGAUCGGUUGGGGGCUCCCAGGCCGCGAGGCGCGCUGCCAGUUGGGAUGAAAAUGGCGGAUGAGGCCGGGCGCGGUGGCUCACGCCUGUGGUCCCAGCACUUUGGGAGGCCGAGGCGGGCGGAUCACAAGGUCAGGAAAUCGAGACCAUCCUGGCGAACACUGUGAAACCCCGUCUCUUCUAAAAAUACAAAAAAAAAUUAGCCAGGCGUGGUGGCGGGCGCUUGUAGUCCCAGCUACUCAGGAUGCUGAGGCAGGAGAAUGGCGUGAACCCGGGAGGCGCAGCUUGCAGCGAGCCAAGAUGGCGCCGCUGCACUCCAGCCUGGGCAGCAGAGCGAGACUCCAUCUCAAAAAAAAAAAAAAAAAAAAAGAAAAGAAAAGAAACUGGCGGACAAAGGAAGAGAUCCUCCUUCAGGCAGGGUAGGGAAGAAGGGCACUCGGUGACCAGAGACCUUUUCCAGGACCAUGUCUUUGAAGCAAAUCUCAGCUCUUGUCUUCCGGAAGCGAUGGAGACAGAAUCCAGAAGCCUGAGACUCUCUCCUUUCCUGGCUUUGAUGAAGCAAGCUGCCACACUGGAGAGGCCUACAUGAUAAGGACCUGAAGGUGGCCUCCAGCUAGCUCCAGCCAACAGUUGGCAAGGAAUUGAGGACCUGAGUCCAAUAGACCUUGAGGAACUGAAUCCUGCAACAGCUACACAAGUGAGCAUGGCAGUGUAUCCUUCCCCAGUAAAGCCUUCAGAUGAGACCCCAGCCCCAGCUGACACCUUGAUUGAAGCCUUGUGAGAGACCCUGAAGCAGAGAAACCAGCUAGGCCUUGCCUGGAUUCCUGAUCCACAAACUGCUUUUGUGAUGCCCUAUAAUUACAUGAACUCUACUAAAAAGAGGGAUACUGGAAAGAAGAAUAAUGUUGAGACACCUUUGCAGAAGAAAAAACAACUUCCUCUCUUCCUCUACUUCACUCUGGCAAGUUCUCCAACCUGACAAGCCAGUAGGGGACAGUUUUGCUCUUGUCGCCCAGGCUGGAGUGCAAUGGCGUGAUCGUGACUCACUGCAACCUCCGUCUUCCGGGUUCAAGUGAUUCUUCUGCCUCAGCCCCAGUGAGUAGCUGGGAUUACAGGCACCUGCUGCCAUGCCCAGCUAAUUUUUGUAUUUUUUUUUUUUUUUUUUUUUUUUUUUUUUGAGACGGAGUCUCGCUCUGUCGCCCAGGCUGGAGUGCAGUGGCGGGAUCUCGGCUCACUGCAAGCUCCGCCUCCCGGGUUCACGCCAUUCUCCUGCCUCAGCCUCCCAAGUAGCUGGGACUACAGGCGCCCGCCACUACGCCCGGCUAAUUUUUUGUAUUUUUAGUAGAGACGGGGUUUCACCAUGUUGGCCAGGCUGGUCUGGAACUCCUGACCUCAGGUGAUCCACCUGCCUCGGCCUCCCAAAGUGCUGGGAUUGCACCUCAGGUAAGCCACCAUGUCCAGCCCACAAGAUAGCCAUCUAAUAUAUAAAGGCACAGAUAGAUUAAAAGCAAAGGGAUGGAGAUAAACAUACCAUACUAACAGUAAUCGGAAGAAAAUAGAGGCAGCUAUAUUAAUUUAAAACAAGUCAGAUUUCAGCACAAGGAAAAUUGUCAGGGAUAAAGAGGGGCAUUACAUGAUAACAAAGGGGUCAAUUUUCCAAAAAGCCAUAAUAAUUCCUAAUGUGUACACAUCUAACAACAAGAGUGUCAAAAUAUAUGAGGCAAAAGUGGUAGAACUACAAGGAGAAAUAGAUAAAUCCACUAUUAUUGUGGGAGAUUUCAAAAUGUCUCUAUUAGUAAUUGACAGAUAAAGCAGAAAAUCUGUGAAGAUAUAGUUGAUCAGAACACCACUAGUAAUCAGCUUGAUCUAACUGACAUGUAUUGAAUACUUCAUUCAACAGCAUUCUGUUCAAGCUUACAUGGAACAUUAACUAAGGUAGAUAACAUUCUGGGCCAUAAAGCAUACCUUAAUAACUAUAAAAGAAAUUAUAUAAUGUCUACUCAUAUAAUGCUACAUAUGGUCUAACCAUAAUGUAGCAAAACUAGAAAUCAAUAACAUAAAGAUAUCCAGAAAAUCCCAAAAUACAUGAAGAUUAAACAACACACAUGGGCAAAGAAGAAGUAUCAAGAGAAAUUUUAAAAUAUUUUAAACUAAAUGAAAGUGGAAAAAUCAAAAUUUGCUGCAAAAUCAAAAUUGUAGCAAAAAUAGUGUUUAGAAGGAAAUUUCUAGCAUUAAAUACACAUGUUAGAAAAGAAUAAAGACCUAAAAUCUCUGUACAGCUCUGGCUCACUUAACUGACAGAUGUCUCUCUGUUUCCAAAAUAUUGGAAAACACAGAUUACUCUUUAGGUAGCACAGAGAUAGAAGGAGGAGCCCCAUCCUACACAGGAAGGCAAGGAUAGGAAUACCCAGGAAGUCAAGCUGGAGCUCAGCCAUGGUGCAGUAAGGCUUCUGAGACAAAGAAGGUAGUCUUCAUUAUCAGAAGCUGAGUGCUGAGUCCCCAUUCCAGAUCAGAGUUCCAGGCCUAUAUCAUGGAACUUUAACACAGACACCAGAAGUUCUUGAGGGUGGGGCGGGGACAACAAAUGGAAGAUGAACCCACAGUUCUUCCCCCUAUCAUCUAGCCCAACUGAUCUGUCCAUUCCCCUGGGUCCUUUUAGAUCUUCAUCUUACCCUCCAACUGCACCCUUUCAUGAUACUAUAUGUUUACAUUAGUAACAUUUUCUAUUUAUUCCACCUAUUACCUUUUACUGCUUCAUGAUCCGCCUUUGGAGCCCACUAUCUUUGAAAGUGACGUGGCCAUGGAUUUACACCUUCAAGAUCUACUCUGUCCUCAACUAUAACCUCCCCAUGAACACAAUGUUUUUUUUUCACCUGUACAAAACCAGGAAUAUACUCAGCAGCAACCUAUCCCCUCCAUAUUUCUUCAAAAAGAUCCAUGUUUACCAAAAGCCAUCAGAGAACAGAGUAACCUGUACAACAAAGAGGGACACAAAGGCAUGGCCCAUCUCUGGCAAAAAAUUUGGAACUCUUUCAGUAAUUUUUUCUCCUCUAAUCUCUCUUAGGCUAUUCACCCCUAAGGGCUCUCAAAUCUAGCUCCCUCUACCUAUACAGUGUUCUAUCCUAUGCACCUUCUUUCUUCUCUUUACCAAACCCCCUCUCUUCUUCCCAGCAUUUUAAAAUUCUGCCUCAAUUUCACAGAGCAACUGUGCUGAACCACAACCCACAUAACCAAACUUAUCCUGAUUUAGGAAGCAGAUUUCUCCUUAGUGUAAUAUAGCCUAUAAUGAGCACAACUGAAACUUAGCAUAGCAUUUUGUUUUGAAUUAUGCCUAUGAUUACUUCUUUUAUGAAAGUUUUUAUUAUUUUUUUCCAUCUACUUCCUAACUUUUCACCCCAAUUCCUAUGGCUCCUCUAUACUUUUUUCAAACAAUGUCUAUUUUGUUUAUAGUAUAUAUGUAUUUAUCUCCCCAUGUUAGCCAGUCAUUUAACAGUUACAACCCUUGAAGCUUCUCUACUUAGGUUAUGAACUGCUGAAAUUAAGCCUUGUGUCAUUGCCUUACACUGCUUGCCUAAAUUCCCUCACUGAGUCUGAUGACUCCAUCUUGACCCCAGGCACCCAAUCCUUUUCAUCUGAUGAGGGUUUACCAGUGAUGACAGCUUUGCCUGUCUUCUGUAUCCACAGCUUCUCCAUUUUCUCUACCCAAAAGGAGGUAAACUUUAAGCCUGCCUCCUCACAUCUACCCUCCCUUGACUACAGGAGGUCUCUCUGUUGAGAAAUAUAUCUCCAUACAGCCUUGCAUCCUGAUGGUUUUUGUUGUUUUGUAUGUUUGGUUUCAUUCUGUUUGUUUAUAAUGUCUGGUCCUAACAGCCUGUAUGGUCCCUAGAACUCACAAAUGUAAAAAUGUCCUUUACAGCCAGAGCAAGAUAAGCUCCACCAUAAACUUUCUAAGAAGAGAGGAUUAUAAAAAUUACACAUUGAAUAUAUUCUUCAAAAAGGGUGAUGCCAUAAAAAAAUGUUGAGAAACUGCUCUAGAUUAGAGACUAAAGACACAUGAGAACUAAAUGCAAUACAUAAUUCUAGACUGGAUCCUGUAAUGGAGGUUAUUUUUAAGCCACAAAGGAUAUUACUGACAAAAAUGGAAUAUGGAUAAGAGAUUAAUUAAAAGUUUUACACCAAUGCUCAAUUUACUGAAGGGGAUAAUUGACUAUGUAAAAGAAUAUUCUUUUCUUAAGAAAUACACAGUGAAAUAGUCAAGAAGAAAGUGGAUGAUGUAUGAAAAGUAUUCUCUGAUGUCCAGGAAUUCGUGUGUGUGUGUGUGUGUGUGUGUUUGUGUGUGUGUGUGUGUGUAGAGAGAGAGAGAGAAGAGAGGAGGUAGGAGGGAGGGAUAUAGGAGAGAGAUCACAAAUGGGUCAAAAUGUGAAUAGGCAAAUCUGGAUAAAAGUUACACUGUUGUGAUAUGGUUUGGAUGUUUCGUUUCCUCCAAAUCUCAUGUUAAAAUAUGACCACCAGUGUUGGAGGUGGGUCUAGUGGGAGGUGUUUGUGUCAAAGGGGUGGAUCCCUCAUGAAUGGCUUGGUGCCCUCCCCAUGGUAAUAAAUGAGUUCAUAUGAGAUCUGGCUGUUUAAAAGAAUGUGCCACCUCCUCCACUCUCUCUCCUGAUCCCUCUCCCACCAUGUGACAUGUUGGCUCUAGUCUUCAUUCUGCCAUGAUUAAAAAUCUUCUGAGGCCCUCUCCAGAAGCAGAUGCUGUUGCCACCUUUCCUGUAUAGCCUGCAGAACUGUGAGCCAAAAUAAAAUUCUUUUUGUCAUAAAUUACCCAGCCUCAGGUAUUUCUUUAUGGCAAUGCAAAUGAACCAAUAUAUUGUUGUUUACCAUCCAUGCAACUCUUCUGCAAGUUUAAUUAUAUUAAACUUCAAAUAAAUACAUUUUUAAUGGA
rnacentral:lncRNA from 1 species